rnacentral:rRNA from 1 species
UGCGUAGGCGGGCUAAUAAGUCAGUGGUGAAAUCUUCCGGCUCAACCGGGAACCUGCCAUUGAUACUGUUAGUCUUGAGUACGGCUGAGGUAGGCGGAAUGUGUAAUGUAGCGGUGAAAUGCUUAGAUAUUACACAGAACACCAAUUGCGUAGGCAGCUUACUAGACCGUAACUGCCGCUGAGGCACGAAAGCGUGGGUAGCGAACAGGAUUAGAUACCCUGGUAGUCC